CGGUGGAGAAGGAUGAUGUCAGGUUUCGACAAUGUAAGGUGGUGUAAUCUAACAUUGCUCAAAGGACGCCGAUAAGUGCCACACUUGUGGGCGUUAGGAUGGUCUGUCCACACAUUUUGUAUGGAGUAUAAGAGGAACAGCCCACACAUCUACGUGUGGGCAAAACAAGUAAUGCCCACGCAUCUUUUUUUCUCUCCCGAUUCCUUUCACACGCGUGCGUGUGGGCGAAAUAGAUAACGCCCACAUGCUCCGUACGUCAGGCCUCGUACCUCGUGGUCCCGCACGCCCCGCGUAUCAGUCACCGCGCGCCCGCAGUUGCCAUGGUCCAGACCCUCGUCCAUGUUCGUUUAACUGUAGUUGCCAUGUCGUUGAACUACGGUUGCCAUGUCAGACAACUACAGUUGCCAUGGUGGCUCAACUGCAGUUGUCAUCUCAUGUCAAAAGUUCCAGAUGCCAUUUUUGGGCAACUACGGCUGUUGCCAUGUAUGGUCUGGUUUACUAUAGUUGCCAUGAUUUGAAAACUUUAGGGGUUUGCCACCUACUAACACUAGGCAGGUGCCGUGUAGCGCUACAAAAAGACAUGGCAAAACAACAUGUUCGGGUAAAAAAAAGAGUUACCAUCUGCUUACAAGCAUGCUAGGGCAGUUGUCGUGUACCCUGCAAAAUACAUGGUAACUGACAUGUUCGGGUAAAAAAAAGUUGCCACCUGCUUAUAAAGCACACUACGGCAGUUGCCAUGUACACUGCAAAACACAUGGCAAGUGGCAACUUGGGUGUGAGAGAUGAGACGGGCGUGUGGGCGAGACAGCAAAUGCCCACCCACCAGCUCUUGUGUGUGAGUGGAAAGUGGCGUGUGGGCGAACUGCUGAACGCCCACACACCAGCCCCUCCCGUAUGGUGAAACGGUUGUGUGCGCGAUCGGAUGAAUGCCCACACACCAGCCCAGUUCUACGUGGCACUAGAAACAUGUCAAGAUUCGUGCGCCGCAAACAGGCGCGGAUCCACGCGUGUGGGCGAGAUGCAAACGCCCACACAUGUGGGCGUUAGACUUUUUGUUGCUCAAAAUCAAACUGAAUUCGUGAAAUGUCAUAUGUCGCUCUGCUUUUUUGAACUGAAUGAACACAUUUGGUUGUUUAUAAACAGGACAACUGGAUGUACACAUGAUGGUUGAUCUGUUUUGCUACGGAGAAGUUCCUUUCCUUGGAUAUAUACUGAAUGCGGAUUUGCGGUAUUUUUCUUUAAAUGACACACUUGGCAAUUUUUAAGAGAUCCUGUUGACGGACCACAGCCUGCAUCAUGAAAGAAAUUUGUAGUGUAGAAAAGGAAACAAACUAAUUCCCAAACGAUGGUACUAAGAGAAAAUUAUGCCGCCUCCCUCCCUUCUUUUCUUUGUUUUUUCAUUCAGGGUGUAAAUUUUUUUUUGCGCGGGAGGGUGUAAUAUAUCCGUUCGUUUAUUUUCUACUUACAUCAUUAGUUUGCUCGAAUAGUGUACGUACGUAGGAUGCAUGGACGAUCAUCUCACUCACGGACGGAGUAUCAGCAGUCGGUCUUCACCAAGACAGGGGCACUCGGUUUAUUCUUCCAGCCAUAGAUCCUCAAGAAUUAUGAGCUAAAAGAACCCAUAAUGGGCGGGGUUUUUUUUUUCAAAGAAUCAUGUAUAUUGCACACAUAGCUCACAAUUAUGAAAACAAUAAUAAACCAAGCUAAGAGAAAGAACAAAAAAAAAAGGAAAGCUUAUUCUAAAAUGAUCAGGUUGGAGAAAGGCUAUUAUAGAAUAAUAACAUGAAAAUCAUCGCAUGCCAUUUCAAAAGACUUCCUCAAUCUCCGUACGAGAGCAAAACCCAGAGGCCCUACAUAUUUGGUAUAUGGGAGAAGAAAUUUACUUGUGAAAGAUAAUGAAAAUGAUCAGUCCUGCACUUUAGUGUACCAACUACUAUGACAACAUAUACUACAUGGAUGAGGGUAGAAUACCCCUUAUGGUCUAUCAAAUUUGUACUUUGCUAUCGACAAAAUGAUUAUUCACUAACUAACAGGAAUAAACAUCACUGUGCUGCUUGCCGACAAUUUGGCUCUUUGGUCAAAGUGUUUGUCUCAACCACCGACGAUCAAAGUAUCCACUCUUAAGUAAUAGGUUGUUGAUAUGUAAGUAUUUAAGUAAUAGGUUGUUGAUAUGUAAGUAUUUAAGUACUUCGUUCUGCAUUGUACGCCCUAUAUAGCUAAUCUGGAAGGUUCAUACCAUAGUAACCAUUUCAACAUCCACAUAUGCUUGCAAAAGAAGAAGUUCUCCUGGUAUUUGGUUUUUGCUCUUCAUGGCAUGUACUGCAUAGAAUUCCAUGAGUAUAUCCCCUACACCAUUUUAUUUUGCUACUAAAUCAAAUAUAAAAGAUCUAAAUAUUAACUCACAUGUUUAUGCUGCGUGCAGCAUCGUGUCGCGCCUUGCUAAGACACUAUGUUAGAAUCAUGCGAAUUCCUUGGCUAAUUGGUUGGUUACUACUUGCUCAAUUAUUUCUUUGCAUUGUUGUGUAUGUAAGAUAAUAAAAAUUUCGAAUGGGAUACUUUGUAUGAACAUCAAGCUAUUGUUCUUGUUGAAUUUGCGGUUCCUAAUUCCAAUACCCUAAUGGUCUAUUUAGGCAUUUGUUUUUGCUCUGGUAUGUACUACUUUGUUAAUAGUUGGGCAUUCUAACUUGGACAUUUUCGCUUGCUGAAUAAUGUGACUUGACCAUUUAGUGCAUUUUUUCUUCUAUCUUGACCUCCACUGCACAGUGGCAAGGAGCCACGCUUACGCUUGAGCGCGCAGACCUCGUCCGCGUCAAAGCAGGAGCGCAGAGAUUGCGGCGGCGUCAUAGAGAUGCAUGCGCGUCCUUGCCCAUCCGCCCCACCACUCACCACGCUGCAAGCUUGCAGCCCUGACACUUUCCGGUCGCGGCGACCAGGCUGGACGGUGCGGAUCUCGGUGGACACCAGUUUCGACCGUUGGAGACGAGAGACGGGAGGUGCGUGCCCGAGGCCACUCCUAUUUGGCGCGCACAUUCUAGGACCUUCCCUGAACCGGUUUCUUCAAUUUCGGGUUUUCUUUCUUUUUUGUCUGGUUUUCCUUGUUCUUGUCCCUUUUCUUUCUUUUUCUUUUUUGUCUGUUUUUUGUUCCUGUAUUUUGUUUUUAUUUUUUUCAUUUUUCAUUUUACUAUUAUUUUUCUUUUUUUAAUUCACGAACAUCUUUCAAAUUCGAAUUUUUUUGUUUGAAAUAGUGAACAUUUUUCAAAUACAUAAACACUUUGUUGUAUCACGAACAUUUUUUAAAUUUGUGAACUUUCUUACAAGUUUACGAACAUUUUUUUAACUUUUGCGAACAUUUUUCUGAAAUUUGGGAACAUUUUUUGAAAUUCAGGAACUUUUUUAUGAACAUUUUUUUAAGUUCAUGAAUACUUUUUUGAAUCAAGGCACAUUUUUGAAUUUUGUGAACUGUUUCUAAAAUUUGGGAACAAUUUUCGAAAUUUCCCCCAAAAAAAUUGAAUAUUGUGGACAUUUUAUAGAAAUUCAUGAACAUAUUUUGAACUUUUGAAUAUUUUUCAAAAUAGACGAACAUUUUUGAAUCUGUGGGAAUUAUCAUUUGUUUUGAACAUACCAACGCUUUUCAAGAUCACGAAAAUUUUAGAAUUCCCCUAUCAUUUUUCAAAAUCAUGACCAAUUUUUUGAAUUCACGAACAUUUUAUGAUUUUAAACCUUUUUUCAAAAUUCAUAAUUUUUCCGAAAUUUGAUUUUUUAAUGCUAAAUUACUUUGAAAAGAAUAAUGCAAAAAAGAAAAAUCGAAAUGAAAAGAGGUGGGCAUCCCACCUGUACAUGGGCCGGCCCGAAAGGGCACAAGGGGAGCUGGGGUGCGCGCUCGCUGUCUUUGCAGCGCGUGUGCACCAAAUAGGAGGUCCCCAUGCCCGGUUGGUUCACUGAAGUCGGAAGCGUGAUGAUGUACAUGGAGUGGGCCGCAUUUUUGGUCCGUGACACUGAGGGAGCCUCCUGGGCUGGGAUUAGUAAAAUUCUAAACGCACCCUCCCCGUUGAUGUCGAGUUUUGGAUUUCGCCCAAAAAAAUUUAAUUUCGGCCAAAAUUCAUCCAUCUCGUUUGGGCCCGGUAUUAGUACAAACCGGUCCAAGAAUUUGGGCAUAUAUGGAUUUUCAGGUCGAGCCCUGGCCCAAAAUAGCCCACACACAUCGCAGUGGUAUAUAAACUGCAACCAACCUUUUGUAACCCUAACUUUCACCCCCCCUCCCCCCAAAUCUCCACCCCUAGUGCGGCGUCCUUGGCAACCCAAGCCAGCAGAGGGAAGCAGCGCCGAUCUGCCUCCACCCACCUCCUCCUCCAGUGCUCCAGGUGCGUCAAGCCUCCUUUCCUCCGGCACUCCACCUCCUCGAGCACUCCUGCCCAUUCUUCUCUCUCCCAUGGAGGGCGAAGGUUGCGACCGUCACUGCUCCGUGUACGGGGCGACCCUGUUGAUGGCAGCAACACCGUGGAGCAUGCCCACAUGAGGUUGAGGAUAAUAAUUUUUUGGGGUAGGGCUAUCUCACACCCACUUGCCCACGGUCGAUUUCCGACAGGAGCAUCUUUCCUUCUUUGGCAUAUGGUCUUUAUUCCUUUUCUAAUCUGCACAAAAAUUCAUAUGUGACUGGUUCACCUUCCUUUGUAGCAUUGUGUCUGGCUUAACAUAGAUGGAAUGUUUAGAGAAAGACAGUGGCCCCAUGGCUGAAUUUAGGAGAGAGGAAUUUAUUAGAGGAAAGGCACCGAGCCCCACAGUUGAAUUCAAGGUGGGGGUCUGGGGAAUACUUAUUAGUAGAAGAAAGUCACCGAGCAUGCAACCAUCCAACACUUUCCGCGUGGGCAUCGAGUGCCGCAGCGCUCGCACGAAGGAGUAAAUCUGUUUUUUACAUGUCUAUUUGCCAAAGAUUCUACAUACACUUCUGCUCCGGUUUAUUUCAAAAUUUUGGAAAUUUCGGUCAAUUUUCAUUCUUGGUUUGUCAUUUUUGUAUGAAACGUACUGAAAAAACAAAAUUUGCCCAUUUCCCGCAGGCCCCCGAUGGCACCGGCGCAUGCUCCUGGAGGCGGCGAUGACGUGACCGUGGCACAGUGCCCAAUCUGCAUGGAGGAGCUGGUGGACAACAACAACCGUGGACUCGUCACAAGAUUGCCCGGCUGCUUGCACUCCUUCCACGAAAGCUGCAUCGCACAAUGGUUCUGCAGGGCGGCCACGUGUCCGUGCUGCCGGCGCGACAUGCCAACCUACAGUAUCCGCGCGUACCCGCUGCCAUCUUACUACCCGGAGACGACCAUUACGGUCGCGCUGCCCAUUCCGCGCCGUCCUCCACAAUGAUGAGAUCGUUCCCCUGUACUGCACAGCAGGGCAGUAUGCUGGCCCGGUGGAGAAGGAUGAUGCCAGGUUUCGAGCAUGUAUUGUGGUGUAACCGAACAUUGCUCAAAAUCAACCUAUUUUUCGACAAUGUAAUAUGUCUCUGUGCUUUUUUCAAUUGAAUGAAGACACGCAUUUGGUUUUUUAAACCGGACGACUGAAUUCACAGAUGGUGACGGUUGAUAUAUUUUGAUAGUUCCUUGGAUGCUGAAUGUGGAUUUGCCGUAUUUUUCUUUAAAUGCCAUACUUGGCAAUUUUUAAGAGAGCCAGUUGAAAGACCACAAGCUGCAUCAUGAACGAAAUUUGCCCAUACACCUGAGGACUACAAAAAUAGAAACAUUGAUAAGGGAAGAUGAUCGUGCUACUGAGAGUAUAUGUGCUUGGGCAUCAAUGAGCGGAUAUUUGAUCAGUUUAAGAAAGAAUUGACAGAAGUACAAUAGCUACCUGUGUGGUUUAUAUCUGGGUUUUCUGUGACCCGUG
rnacentral:lncRNA from 1 species